GACUGCUUUAAGGAAAGAAAGGAAAAGAGAGAGGCAGAGGAACACAGGUAUGAAAAAAUGGCAGUGAAAAAGUAUCUAUCGAUAAUAACCUGAAACCUAAAUGGAUUAAAUGCUCCUAUCAAAAGACAUAGAAUAGCUGAAUGGGUAAGAAACUAUGACCCACACAUAUGCUGCCUA